rnacentral:tmRNA from 24 species
GGGAGCGACUUGGCUUCGACAGGAGUAAGUCUGCUUAGAUGGCAUGUCGCUUUGGGCAAAGCGUAAAAAGCCCAAAUAAAAUUAAACGCAAACAACGUUAAAUUCGCUCCUGCUUACGCUAAAGCUGCGUAAGUUCAGUUGAGCCUGAAAUUUAAGUCAUACUAUCUAGCUUAAUUUUCGGUCAUUUUUGAUAGUGUAGCCUUGCGUUUGACAAGCGUUGAGGUGAAAUAAAGUCUUAGCCUUGCUUUUGAGUUUUGGAAGAUGAGCGAAGUAGGGUGAAGUAGUCAUCUUUGCUAAGCAUGUAGAGGUCUUUGUGGGAUUAUUUUUGGACAGGGGUUCGAUUCCCCUCGCUUCCA